AGUUGGGGACCUACGGCCCCUCUGCAGGCCCGGGGGUGUGUCAGGCUGUGGGGAGCGACGUCCCGAGCCACGUGGGUGCUGCGUGGCUCGUAGUCCUUGUCAAGCACCGGUGACCCGCGGGGUGGGCAGCGGCUGGGCUUGCAGGUUUCCGUUCCUUCCCUUAAGAUGCCAUUUGGGGGGCAGUGGGCGAGGUCCCCGGCCUCGGCCGCAGCUUUCCCUUAAGGCUGUCAUUCGGGGGGCGGAGGCUCAGGUCCGUAGCCAGCUCCGCUGCCCCCUUGAGGCAUCAUUUGGGGGAGCGGUGGGCAGGGGCGGUUUGUCUCUGCCCGCGGUCCUCCCUUAAGACGUCACUGGGGUCCGCAGUGGGGAGGGCCGGAGGGCCCCCGCAGUCCUCCCUGAUGGUGUCAUUUGCGGGGGGCAGCGGCCAGGUCCGUAGGCCCCCGCUGUCCUCCCUUAAGUUACCGUUCGGGUUGGCAGUGGGUCUGGUCUGAACCCCUGUAGUUCUCACUUAAGGCCUUUCGGGGGGGGCCGCGGGCCAGGUCCCUAGGGCUUGGCCCGCGGCCCCUCCUUAAGGCGUCACUUGGGGCUGCAGUGGGCAAAGGCCUGGAGGUCGCCGCUGUCUGCUCUCGGGGUCAUCUUGCCGAGCUGCGGUGUGGUGCUGCCCUGCUCGCAAACGGGUCAAGCACUGACAGCCUUUUCACACCCCCAAGCCCAAGCUACGGUGUGGUGCUGCCUAGCUCUGUGGGCGGUCAAGCACUGGUGGUCACUUGAGGGGGCUUGUGCCCUCUCAAGGCCAUCCCAUGGGGAAGCACGAGCACACGGGGUGCCGCCAAAGACAACCAGCAGAGAAGACAACACAAAAGCAGGUGUGAGCUGGCCUGCUAUUUAAUGGACAAAUAAAAUUGAUCUGCCAGGCACCUUCUUGGUGCCUGGUGCCUUUCACCUCCAAGUUCCUGCUCCCCCUCUGCGCUGUUUCUCUUCUCUCCUGUCCUGUUCUUUCACAUCCAAGUUUCCCCGCCCGCUGCCCCCUUUCAUUUCUGCAGUGGUUCCCUUGCAACCACUGCGUGCUGAGGGCCUCCGGGCUGGCCACCCAGGAUACUGAAUCCCUUGCUGAAAGGGAUUGGUGGCAGAUGUCGCUUGACUUGGCUCUCCGGGAGUCGAGUGUUGGAGACUGGCCUGGCCACCUGAGGCUGCAGCCCCGAAUCCUGCAAAGCAGGUCCCCUUUGGGGGUCUGCACGUCAUCCCCAGAAGGACAAGCAGACAAGAUGGCAGAUGGGUCGGAGCGAGCUGACCGGGAAGGCGGAAAACGAGGCCAGCCUAACAGGAGGCACAGGCCUCGGGAGAACCAGAAGGAGAAGCAGCGGGGAAGAGGCGAGGUAGGAGAAAAGCCAGGCAGAGAAACAGGGUGAGAAGGAAAGGGACUCUGGACAGAGUGACCUCCCUGCCUUUAGGUCUCAAUCAUGUCUCAGCCAAAUUUUGGCUGCGUGAGCCUUUGGGCGAGCUCUCUGUAACUCAGAGAUGGAUCUCUGCCCUUGAAGCUGUUACACUUCUGUAGCAGUCAGGUGGAAGGUGGACAACCCUGUAAGCAAGGUGUGUGUCACCGCUACCUCGUUUGUAAAUCCAUGGAUCUGGCUGGUGGUCUUGUGCGGAGCAGCCGCCCUGUAAUCGGGGUGCAGGCCAGCUGCCAAACAUGACUGCCAAUGCUGCAGCCUCCUAUAAGCGGGGUGAGUGCUGCCUCCUAACAUGCGAGGACAGGCGAUAUGAACGUGUGUAGCGCUGGACAUCCCGUAAUUCGGAGUCCGAGUCCAUUGCUAUUGCUAGCCAGUUGGGAGAGGUGCCCCUGUAAGCAGGGUGGGCAUAGCCACCUACCGCUGGCUGGAGAGAGACGGAGCAGCCUGCCGCAUUGUGCAGCAGGACAGCCUUGCAGACAGGAGCCGGGUCUCGUUGGUGACAGCAAACUUUUUAGACCCCGGAGCCUGAUGACCCUCCCGUGGCUGGGUUGAAGCCUGUGGCCUCCUCCACCUUUCCCUGUGUCCAGGCAUCUGUCCCUUGUCCUGCAUCAGUGCCUGGUACUCCAUGUCCGGACCCCUGGACUGCCCUGUAACGAGGGUGUGAGUCCCGCGUCUCUUGGUGGAGGACUAGGUUAUGCAAAGCAGUGGACCACCCUGUAAGCAGGGUCUGGGCAUCCAUGUGCCUUUGGUGAGAGAUCUUUCCUUUGGCUAGCCUGAGGGCCCGCCCUGUAAGCAGGGCUCUGGGCAUGUCCCUUUUGAACCUUGUGGGCAGUCUGGCUGGUCAGACGGGCCGGGCCCUGUAAGGAGGGUGCGAGUCCCGUGUCUCUUGGUGGAGGGCUAGGUUCUGCAGAGCCGUGGACCACCCUGUAAGCAGGGUCCAGGUCUCCAUGUGCCUUUUGGGGACAGCUCUGUCCUUCGGCAGGCUGAGGGCCCUCCCUGUAAGGAAGGCCUCGCCUAUGGGCGAUCUGGCUGGCCAGGCGGGCCAUACCCUGUAAGGAGGGUGCCGGUCUUAGCCGUCUUGCCUCCUGGGAGUGGAGGAGGAUUUUGCAGGGUAAGGCUCGAGGACAAGCAGUUUGCAGCACGGAGCUGCUUUCCGGCCUGGGAACACUCUUCCUUGUCAGAGUGUGGCGAGCGAGAGAGAGGAGCGCCUGGGAAUGAAAGCGUUUGUUAUUUUCUUUUUGUUGUUAAAAUCGCUGCAGCGUACUUUAUUUUCUUCCCAGUGCUGGAAAGGGGCGAGAUGUGUCCACAUAGCCUUAUUCUUCCACCUCCUCACCUAGGGGGUUAAGCACCGGCAUAGAUUUCUGUGACUUCUGGCUUCGGGGAGCAUUAGGCCACCCCCCCCAGUGACCUCCCUGUCUCUCAGGGUACGGGUCUUGGGCCCCUCUUGGGUGGCCAACACGGUCCUUUGCCCACUUGGUAGCUCACACGAAGACUUCCUGCCAUCCGUCCUGGGGGCAGGCUCUGUAUCCCGUACCCGAGUCCCUGGAGACAAGUGCCCUGGCACUUGGCCAGCCGUCCUCCUGCGCCCCUGGCCCCGGCUUGCAGCCUGUAAGCAGGGUCCGGGUCCCCUUGAUUUUCUGGGUCUUGUUCCAGUGGGUGAGGUUGGCCAGAGACGAUACCCACGGGCCACAGGGAAGGUUGCAGUGCGCUGGCACCCCGAGGCAUCGUGACCUCCCUGUAACUCGGGUCCAGGUCUCUGCUCCUCUGUUCUGCUGCUCCUGGCACUGUUGAGAGGGCCUCUCCCCGCGCCCUGUAAACAGGGCUGUGCCCCCCACCCGCUCUGACCCUGGGGGAGGAGGCUUUGUUUAGUCCUUUGGGCUCUGUGGCUUCAGUGACACGAGGCUGAAGUUGUGGCCCUUAUGUCCUCCAGGAAUGGGGCAAUUUUGACCCCUGGUCAAGACCGCCUGAGGUACCUGUCAGCUGGCAUUCAGGUCUUUGCAGGUUUUCUCUGGGCUUCAUGCCCCAGCAGCCAGCUGUGUGCCGGGAGCGCCGCCCUGUAAGCAGGGUUUCUGGUGUUGGCGGUCACCGCUCGUGGUGCCGCCCUAGCAGUUCUGUCCAGAGCCCUGGCCCAUCGCACGCAGCUUCUGGCUGGCCCGGAUGUCUGCCUCCCCCAUCUCCGCGGACAGAGGACAGCGGCCGCAGGUCCAGGCUCAAGCAGAGAAAACGGCAGACCAGCAGGAAUCCACUUACAAGGAGGGAAGAAAACCAUGCCAGCCCAGCAAAGGUGUCGGAAGGAGAAGCCGCAGGCAAGCCAUGACGGGCAAAAAGCCAGCAAAACGGGGUGCGAAGGGAAGGGACUCUGGACAGAAUGAUCUCCCUGCCUUCAGGUCUCAGUCAUGUAUUAGCCACUUUUUGCAUGUGUGAGCCUUUGGGCGAGCUCUCUGUAACUCAGAAAUGGGUCUCAGCCCUUGAAGCCGUUGCACUUCUGCAGCAGUCGGGUGGAAGGUGGACAACCCUGUAAGCAAGGCGUGUGUCACCGCCGCCUCUUCUAAAGGCCGUGGAUCUGGUUGGUGGUCUUGCGCAUCGCAGCCGCCCUGUAAUCGGGGUCCGGGCCAGCUGGCUGCCAAUGGUGCAGCCUCCUGUACGCGGGGUGCGUGCUGCCUCCUAACACGUGAGAACAACAGGCAAUUUGACCAUGUGUAGCGCUGGACAUCCCGUAAUUGGGAGUCCAAGUCCCCUGCCAUAGCCAGCCAGCCGGAGAGGUGCCCCUGUAAGCAGGGUGGGCAUAGCCGCCUUCCGCUGGGCUGAGAGACACGGCGCAGUCUGCCGCGUUGUGCAGCAGGAGGGCCUUGCAGACAGGAGCCGGGUCUCGUGGAGUGACAGCAAACUCUUCACAUCCCAGAGCCUGAUGACCUUCCCGUGGCUGGGUUGAAAUCUGUGGUCUCCUCACCGUUCUCUGAGUCCAGGCAUCUGUCCUUCAUCCUGCAUCUGUGCCUGGUACUCCAAAUCCAGACCCCUGGGCCACCCUGUAACGAGGGGGCGAGUCCCAGGCAUCCUGUAGGACGGCCAGGGUCUGCAGAGCUGUGGACCACCCUGUAAGCAGGGUCCAGGUCUCAGUGUGCUUUUGGGGACAGCUCUGUCCUUUGGCUGGCUGUUGGCCCGCCCUGUAAGCAGGGCUCUGGGCAUGUCCCUUUUGAACCUUGUGGGGCAGUCUGGCUGGCCAGACGGGCCGUGCCCUGUAAGGAGGGUGCGAGUCCCGUGUCUCUUGGUGGAGGGCUAGGUUCUGCAGAGCUGUGGACCACCCUGUAAGCAGGGUCCAGGUCUCCAUGUGCCUUUUGGGGACAGCUCUGUCCUUCGGCAGGCUGAGGGCCCUCCCUGUAAGGAAGGCCUCGCCUAUGGGCGAUCUGGCUGGCCAGGCGGGCCGUACCCUGUAAGGAGGGUGCCGGUCUUAGCCGUCUUGCCUCCUGGGAGUGGAGGAGGAUUUUGCAGGGUAAGGCUCGAGGACAAGCAGUUUGCAGCACGGAGCUGCUUUCCGGCCUGGGAACACUCUUCCUUGUCAGAGUGUGGCGAGCGAGAGAGAGGAGCGCCUGGGAAUGAAAGCGUUUGUUAUUUUCUUUUUGUUGUUAAAAUCGCUGCAGCGUACUUUAUUUUCUUCCCAGUGCUGGAAAGGGGCGAGAUGUGUCCACAUAGCCUUAUUCUUCCACCUCCUCACCUAGGGGGUUAAGCACCGGCAUAGAUUUCUGUGACUUCUGGCUUCGGGGAGCAUUAGGCCACCCCCCCCAGUGACCUCCCUGUCUCUCAGGGUACGGGUCUUGGGCCCCUCUUGGGUGGCCAGCACGGUCCUUUGCCCACUUGGUAGCUCACACGAAGACUUCCUGCCAUCCGUCCUGGGGGCAGGCUCUGUAUCCCGUACCCGAGUCCCUGGAGACAAGUGCCCUGGCACUUGGCCAGCCGUCCUCCUGCGCCCCUGGCCCCGGCCUGCAGCCUGUAAGCAGGGUCCGGGUCCCCUUGAUUUUCUGGGUCUUGUUCCAGUGGGUGAGGUUGGCCAGAGACGAUACCCACGGGCCACAGGGAAGGUUGCAGUGCGCUGGCACCCCGAGGCAUCGUGACCUCCCUGUAACUCGGGUCCAGGUCUCUGCUCCUCUGUUCUGCUGCUCCUGGCACUGUUGAGAGGGCCUCUCCCCGCGCCCUGUAAACAGGGCUGCGCCCCCCACCCGCUCUGACCCUGGGGGAGGAGGCUUUGUUUAGUCCUUUGGGCUCUGUGGCUUCAGUGACACGAGGCUGAAGUUGUGGCCCUUAUGUCCUCCAGGAAUGGGGCAAUUUUGACCCCUGGUCAAGACCGCCUGAGGUACCUGUCAGCUGGCAUUCAGGUCUUUGCAGGUUUUCUCUGGGCUUCAUGCCCCAGCAGCCAGCUGUGUGCCGGGAGCGCCGCCCUGUAAGCAGGGUUUCUGGUGUUGGCGGUCACCGUUCCCGGUGCCGCCCUAGCAGUUCUGUCCAGAGCCCUGGCCCAUCGCACGCAGCUUCUGGCUGGCCCGGAUGUCUGCCUCCCCCAUCUCCGUGGACAGAGGACAGCGGCCGCAGGUCCAGGUCCCCGAAGGGCAGCUGGAGAAGAAGGAAUGGAACCAGCAGAAGCAAGCUCGGGAACAAGAAGUGUGGGUCGGGGUGGGCAGGAGGAAGGGGAAUGCUUAAUGUCUGCUCAGAUAAGGACAGAUGGAGGCUGUUGAGUGCAUCUACACUUUCACACACCCAGGAGGAGCAAGCAGCCACACGCUUCAAGUUGCACCGUGCAUUCAGUCUUGGGUUGGCCCCGAUUGUGUGCAGGGAGGUUGAGGCUUUGUGCUAGUCGUGCAUAUCGAUAUGCAGCAGUCAAGGGUUUUGCAGGUUGUGUGCAAGGAGGCUGAGGCGUUGUGCUAGUUGUGUGUAUUGAUAUGCAGCUGUCACGGGUUUCGCAGGCGGUUUGGCUUUGCCAGUGAAGCGGUGGAUCAGAAUAGGUGUGACUGAAGGCAGCGUGUAGGGCGUUCUUGGUUGGGUUGUUGAGCGGUUCUCGGUGUUAGUGUAGGAACACAGGUUUGUGCUCGGUUCUGUUUGUGGCUUGGCUGUAGCUUGCUUAGGCUGUAGCUUGCAGGGCCAAUUUGAGGCUGUUUAUGGUGCAAUUUGUUUGCGUCUGUAAAUUAAGGCUCUGCGGGUGUUUGACAGUGUUAAUCUCCAGCUCCACGGGGACAAAGAUUUUGUCCUCUGUCCAAAUGAUCCUCAAGGUAGUUGGCAUGGUCCAUGUCAAACCAGUAGGAAGCAAGUGGGCCUAAGAUGUGCACAGUCAACAAUAAAUGGUCUAAAAACUGUCUACCUUGUGGCUGGUGCUCUUCUACGCGGAGAAGAUUUGGUCCUUUUCCUUUCCUACUGAGAUCUGGCUGAAGGAAUAAACUUUUUCGUUCUGUC